AUUUUUUACACGCGCAUAUAUAUAUAUAUAUAAUUACACAUUUCACUUUUGUGUCACGUUAUUGCCCUGCUAAGCAGCUAGCUAUUUUUAACUAUUUUCCUGCUACUUUUGAGUCACGUUAUUGACCUGCUAACCAGCUAGCAAGCUGCCUUGCGCUAUUUUACAAUUAUUUUCCCGCUUAUAUUCAGCUACAUUUUUUGCUUACAAGAUAUUGUUUAUUCAGGGGACUUUUGCAGAAAAAAGUGGAAGAGCCUCAGGGACACAUAUCUGAAGGAGAAGAGGAAGGAGAUGGACAAGAGGAGUGGGUCAGCAGCAGGGUCUGGGAAGAGGUGGAAGUACUCUCAGAUCUUGGGAUUCCUCGACCCCUUCGUCACCCCACGGGAGACUAGUGGUAACAUGGAGGGGGUCGAGGCCCGGAUCAGAGAGGACAACCACCUCGAGGACCAGGGACAGCCUGGAGAAACGGCGUGGGAGACAGAGACUGAGGAAAAUGAUCAGAGGGGGAAGAGGAUAUUUUGAGAUCCCUUGCCUCUUCUCCUGUCUCCCCAGUCCCUGGUCCCUCAGCCCCUGCUGCUGAACUCACAGGCCAACAGAGGAGGAGAGCCCGACGGCGGCCCCGUGAGCGGUCCCAGGAUGGUCCGUCGGAGGUGGAGCAGACGCUGUUGGAGCUUCUGACACAACCUCUGGCGCGACCUCCAACCCCACCGCCACGCUCCGCUGAUGAGUACUUCCUCCUCAGCCUUCUGCCUUUUCUGCAGAGCAUGCCGCCUCAUUUAAAAGAAAAAGUUAAAUUUCAAAUAUACAAAUUGGCAAUGGAAAAUAGCACCAUUGUGCUAAAUUUGGAACAAUUGGA